ACAACUUUCAGCAACGGAUCUCUUGGCUCUCGCAUCGAUGAAGAACGCAGUGAAAUGCGAUAAGUAAUGUGAAUUGCAGAAUUCAGUGAAUCAUCGAAUCUUUGAACGCACCUUGCGCUCCUUGGUAUUCCGAGGAGCAUGCCUGUUUGAGUGUCAUUAC
rnacentral:rRNA from 1 species